UAUGAAAAAAUGGUUUUCUAACGACUUGCGAUCCUCCUAGCAGGGAUGAAUCAACUACAAAAAAUGGUUAGGUCAGGUAGAUUCUCUUAGAAAACCCUUUUUUAAUGAUGGUCCUAUUGCAGAGAACAAUGGAGUAUUGACUAAUCAAUAAGUCGUCGACGACGAUAAUUAUCCACUCUGAAAUUUUUGGGGGGAAGUACUCAGGACAUUGAGGAGGAACUAUUGUACGUCGAAGAGGUCUGUGGAUGAAUCCAGCAGAAAUUCCGACAAUGGUUUGUCUUCUCCUGCGAUCAUCGAACUGAUCAAACUCUUGAGAGACAAUAUUAUUCAAGUGGAUGGGGAGGAUUAGACGUUGGUUGGAUCGUCUCCACUUAAUUUCUACGGAGAAAAGAGAAGGAGGUAAGACAUCGAAAGGAGGUCGCAAGGAUCGUCAGAAAGCUCGAACUUGAAGAACAAAAGAUUCAGGCCAAUAGGACACCACAAGUAGAACGAAAUGGCAUGUUUGUAAAUUAAUUUAUUUUCCAAGGUUUAAGAUGGAGGGAGGGAAAACAGUAGAUUGAUCUUUUUCUUAUUAAAAUGACAAUUCAUUUUGAAUUUGAGGUAAAAUGAUAUGUACAUGUCAUUUUGUUCUUAUUCAUUUUGUCAAUACUUCCAAGAUUGACUGACUGUUUGUUUCAAAAAAGA
rnacentral:lncRNA from 1 species